GUCUAUGGCCAUACCACCCUGAACGCGCCCAGUCUCAUCUGAUCUCGGAGGCUAAGCAGGGUCGGGCCUGGUUAGUACUUGGAUGGGAGACCGCCUGGGAAUACCAGGUGCUGCAGGCU
rnacentral:rRNA from 1 species